UACGUAGGGUGCGAGCGUUAAUCGGAUUUACUGGGCGUAAAGCGCGCGUAGGUGGUUUGGUAAGCGAGAUGUGAAAGCCCCGGGCUUAACCUGGGAACGGCAUUUCGAACUGUCAGACUAGAGUGUGGUAGAGGGUAGUGGAAUUUCCUGUGUAGCGGUGAAAUGCGUAGAUAUAGGAAGGAACACCAGUGGCGAAGGCGGCUACCUGGACCAACACUGACACUGAGGUGCGAAAGCGUGGGGAGCAAACAGG
rnacentral:rRNA from 1 species